GCAUCUGUGGUCUAGUGGUAGAAUACCUCGUUGCCAUCGAGGUGACCCGGGUUCGAUUCCCGGCAGAUGCACCA
rnacentral:tRNA from 1 species